rnacentral:rRNA from 1 species
CUGCGAAUGGCUCAUUAUAUAAGUUAUCGUUUAUUUGAUAGUACCUUACUACUUGGAUAACCGUGGUAAUUCUAGAGCUAAUACAUGCUAAAAAUCCCGACUUCGGAAGGGAUGUAUUUAUUAGAUUAAAAACCAAUGCCCUCUGGGCUCUCUGGUGAUUCAUGAUAACUUCUCGAAUCGCAUGGCCUUGCGCCGGCGAUGGUUCAUUCAAAUUUCUUCCCUAUCAACUUUCGAUGUUUGGGUAGUGGCCAAACAUGGUUGCAACGGGUAACGGAGGGUUAGGGCUCGACCCCGGAGAAGGAGCCUGAGAAACGGCUACUACAUCCAAGGAAGGCAGCAGGCGCGCAAAUUACCCAAUCCCGAUUCGGGGAGGUAGUGACAAUAAAUACUGAUACAGGGCUCUUUUGGGUCUUGUAAUUGGAAUGAGUACAAUUUAAAUCCCUUAACGAGGAACAAUUGGAGGGCAAGUCUGGUGCCAGCAGCCGCGGUAAUUCCAGCUCCAAUAGCGUAUAUUAAAGUUGUUGUGGUUAAAAAGCUCGUAGUUGAACCUUGGGCCUGGCUGGCCGGUCCGCCUCACCGCGUGUACUGGUCCGGCCGGGCCUUUCCCUCUGUGGAACCCCAUGCCCUUCACUGGGUGUGGCGGGGAAACAGGACUUUUACUUUGAAAAAAUUAGAGUGCUCCAGGCAGGCCUAUGCUCGAAUACAUUAGCAUGGAAUAAUAAAAUAGGACGUGCGGUUCUAUUUUGUUGGUUUCUAGGACCGCCGUAAUGAUUAAUAGGGACAGUCGGGGGCAUCAGUAUUCAAUUGUCAGAGGUGAAAUUCUUGGAUUUAUUGAAGACUAACUACUGCGAAAGCAUUUGCCAAGGAUGUUUUCAUUAAUCAGGAACGAAAGUUAGGGGAUCGAAGACGAUCAGAUACCGUCGUAGUCUUAACCAUAAACUAUGCCGACUAGGGAUCGGACGAUGUUAUUUUUUUGACUCGUUCGGCACCUUACGAGAAAUCAAAGUGCUGGG